rnacentral:lncRNA from 10 species
AAUUUUUAAAAAAAUAACAUUAGCUACACAUUGCCACAUUUUCCUCUCAUGGACCUUGCAUACCAAAUAUAGUCAGAGAACCUCAAAGAUCAGAGCUGAUCAUCUGGGGGCCUGCUUGCUACUAAAUGUCACUAUAUAUGGCAAAAUUUGGCCUGAAACUUACUUCCAUCAUAACCUAGUAGAAAGUUGUGAGCAGAAGGCCCAUAACCUUCACCAGCCUCUAAUCCUUAGAGACGACAGACAUUUCCCAAAAAGGACCUAACAGUUGUACAUGAGGAAAUUAGCUUGGUCAUUUCACAACACCUGCCUCCAUGAUGCAGACUGGGGGUCACAAUCUUGAGGAUCUCUUCAGCUGCAACAUCCCACAGCUUUUCAAUUUACCUAAAAUGUGUACAGCAUCUACCUCUCAUGCCUGGAAGCAGUUAUAUAACCAUGAAACUGCUCCUGGACUUAUAAUCUUAAUUUUAGUGUUGAUCUUUUCCACCAACAGGAGAUAAAGAAAGCUCCAGGGUUUUUCCAAAGCCAGCAAUCCCUGUUUUCAAAGGUGCUAUUAAGUAGUUACAGCAUAAUUGAUGUUAACAAUCGCUGGAACUCAACAAUAAGGCCCCAGGGAGCAUGAAGUGGAUUUGUUCUCUCCCUCCCUGUCCAAAGAGGCUUCCCCCAAGAUCAUGCCACCUGAGGGGAGGUAUUGUUUGAUGCAUGAAGCUGCUCCACUCCUUUUCUUCUUACUUGUCUAGAUUGAAAGCCUCUUAGUGACAGCUCCCGCUGCUCUUUCAAUGGAGGGUCCUUUCGCCUGCAGCAGAAGUUCUGGCACUGCAGGAGAAAACCAACUGGAGACCAGGAAAUGGGAUUUUAAACUCUCUUUGGGUACCUGGCACUGACAGGUAGUGGUGCCUACAUGAACUGCUGGUUCUGUUUCCAUGGAAACGUGAAACAGUUUGGACAAACAAUGCCAGCAUUAACCAGGACUGCCCCAGACAACAAGCUACCUGUCAUUUAAAGAGGAAUCCUAAAUUCAAUUCACACCAAUAUUUUAUUGGGCCAAGCAUUUUGCUGUUAUGAAUACAAAGGUGUGUUCCUGGUGGCUGCCCACUGAAGGCACUGAUGGAGUGAAUGAGUAAAUAAGUUCCAGAAACAACUCUGCUGCUCAGUAACACUAAAUCCUUGAA